rnacentral:rRNA from 1 species
GCAACGCGAAGAACCUUACCUGGGCUUGACAUCCCGGGAAUCCCCUGGAAACAGGGAGUGCCCUUCGGGAACCCGGUGACAGGUGCUGCAUGGCUGUCGUCAGCUCGUGUCGUGAGAUGUUGGGUUAAGUCCCGCAACGAGCGCAACCCUUGUCUUUAAUUGCCAUCAUUUAGUUGGGCACUUUAAAGAGACUGCCGGUGUUAAGCCGGAGAAGUGGGGAUGACGUCAAGUCCUCAUGGCCUUUAUGCCCAAGGCUACACACGUGCUACAAUGGGCGGUACAAAGAGAAGCAACCUCGCGAGGGUGAGCAAAUCUCAAAAAGCCGUUCUCAGUUCGGAUUGAAGUCUGCAACUCGACUUCAUGAAGUCGGAAUCGCUAGUAAUCGCAGGUCAGCAUACUGCGGUGAAUACGUUCCCGGGCCUU